rnacentral:rRNA from 1 species
AGCGUACACGGUGGAUGCCCUGGCAGUCAGAGGCGAUGAAGGACGUGCUAAUCUGCGAUAAGCGUCGGUAAGGUGAUAUGAACCGUUAUAACCGGCGAUUUCCGAAUGGGGAAACCCAGUGUGUUUCGACACACUAUCAUUAACUGAAUCCAUAGGUUAAUGAGGCGAACCGGGGGAACUGAAACAUCUAAGUACCCCGAGGAAAAGAAAUCAACCGAGAUUCCCCCAGUAGCGGCGAGCGAACGGGGAGCAGCCCAGAGCCUGAAUCAGUGUGUGUGUUAGUGGAAGCGUCUGGAAAGGCGCGCGAUACAGGGUGACAGCCCCGUACACAAAAAUGCACAUACUGUGAGCUCGAUGAGUAGGGCGGGACACGUGGUAUCCUGUCUGAAUAUGGGGGGACCAUCCUCCAAGGCUAAAUACUCCUGACUGACCGAUAGUGAACCAGUACCGUGAGGGAAAGGCGAAAAGAACCCCGGCGAGGGGAGUGAAAAAGAACCUGAAACCGUGUACGUACAAGCAGUGGGAGCACGCUUCGGCGUGUGACUGCGUACCUUUUGUAUAAUGGGUCAGCGACUUAUAUUCUGUAGCAAGGUUAACCGAAUAGGGGAGCCGAAGGGAAACCGAGUCUUAACUGGGCGUUAAGUUGCAGGGUAUAGACCCGAAACCCGGUGAUCUAGCCAUGGGCAGGUUGAAGGUUGGGUAACACUAACUGGAGGACCGAACCGACUAAUGUUGAAAAAUUAGCGGAUGACUUGUGGCUGGGGGUGAAAGGCCAAUCAAACCGGGAGAUAGCUGGUUCUCCCCGAAAGCUAUUUAGGUAGCGCCUCGUGAAUUCAUCUCCGGGGGUAGAGCACUGUUUCGGCAAGGGGGUCAUCCCGACUUACCAACCCGAUGCAAACUGCGAAUACCGGAGAAUGUUAUCACGGGAGACACACGGCGGGUGCUAACGUCCGUCGUGAAGAGGGAAACAACCCAGACCGCCAGCUAAGGUCCCAAAGUCAUGGUUAAGUGGGAAACGAUGUGGGAAGGCCCAGACAGCCAGGAUGUUGGCUUAGAAGCAGCCAUCAUUUAAAGAAAGCGUAAUAGCUCACUGGUCGAGUCGGCCUGCGCGGAAGAUGUAACGGGGCUAAACCAUGCACCGAAGCUGCGGCAGCGACACUAUGUGUUGUUGGGUAGGGGAGCGUUCUGUAAGCCUGUGAAGGUGUGCUGUGAGGCAUGCUGGAGGUAUCAGAAGUGCGAAUGCUGACAUAAGUAACGAUAAAGCGGGUGAAAAGCCCGCUCGCCGGAAGACCAAGGGUUCCUGUCCAACGUUAAUCGGGGCAGGGUGAGUCGACCCCUAAGGCGAGGCCGAAAGGCGUAGUCGAUGGGAAACAGGUUAAUAUUCCUGUACUUGGUGUUACUGCGAAGGGGGGACGGAGAAGGCUAUGUUGGCCGGGCGACGGUUGUCCCGGUUUAAGCGUGUAGGCUGGUUUUCCAGGCAAAUCCGGAAAAUCAAGGCUGAGGCGUGAUGACGAGGCACUACGGUGCUGAAGCAACAAAUGCCCUGCUUCCAGGAAAAGCCUCUAAGCAUCAGGUAACAUUAAAUCGUACCCCAAACCGACACAGGUGGUCAGGUAGAGAAUACCAAGGCGCUUGAGAGAACUCGGGUGAAGGAACUAGGCAAAAUGGUGCCGUAACUUCGGGAGAAGGCACGCUGAUAUGUAGGUGAAGUCCCUCGCGGAUGGAGCUGAAAUCAGUCGAAGAUACCAGCUGGCUGCAACUGUUUAUUAAAAACACAGCACUGUGCAAACACGAAAGUGGACGUAUACGGUGUGACGCCUGCCCGGUGCCGGAAGGUUAAUUGAUGGGGUUAGCGGUAACGCGAAGCUCUUGAUCGAAGCCCCGGUAAACGGCGGCCGUAACUAUAACGGUCCUAAGGUAGCGAAAUUCCUUGUCGGGUAAGUUCCGACCUGCACGAAUGGCGUAAUGAUGGCCAGGCUGUCUCCACCCGAGACUCAGUGAAAUUGAACUCGCUGUGAAGAUGCAGUGUACCCGCGGCAAGACGGAAAGACCCCGUGAACCUUUACUAUAGCUUGACACUGAACAUUGAGCCUUGAUGUGUAGGAUAGGUGGGAGGCUUUGAAGUGUGGACGCCAGUCUGCAUGGAGCCGACCUUGAAAUACCACCCUUUAAUGUUUGAUGUUCUAACGUUGACCCGUGAUCCGGGUUGCGGACAGUGUCUGGUGGGUAGUUUGACUGGGGCGGUCUCCUCCUAAAGAGUAACGGAGGAGCACGAAGGUUGGCUAAUCCUGGUCGGACAUCAGGAGGUUAGUGCAAUGGCAUAAGCCAGCUUGACUGCGAGCGUGACGGCGCGAGCAGGUGCGAAAGCAGGUCAUAGUGAUCCGGUGGUUCUGAAUGGAAGGGCCAUCGCUCAACGGAUAAAAGGUACUCCGGGGAUAACAGGCUGAUACCGCCCAAGAGUUCAUAUCGACGGCGGUGUUUGGCACCUCGAUGUCGGCUCAUCACAUCCUGGGGCUGAAGUAGGUCCCAAGGGUAUGGCUGUUCGCCAUUUAAAGUGGUACGCGAGCUGGGUUUAGAACGUCGUGAGACAGUUCGGUCCCUAUCUGCCGUGGGCGCUGGAGAACUGAGGGGGGCUGCUCCUAGUACGAGAGGACCGGAGUGGACGCAUCACUGGUGUUCGGGUUGUCAUGCCAAUGGCACUGCCCGGUAGCUAAAUGCGGAAGAGAUAAGUGCUGAAAGCAUCUAAGCACGAAACUUGCCCCGAGAUGAGUUCUCCCUGACUCCUUGA